rnacentral:rRNA from 1 species
AAACUGGGAUUAGAUACCCCACUAUGCCCAGCCGUAAACUUUUAUUUACAUCCAAAUCGCCCGGGAACUACGAGCUAAGCUUAAAACCCAAAGGACUUGACGGUACCCCAUAUCCCCCUAGAGGAGCCUGUCCUAUAAUCGAUAAUCCACGUUUAACCUCACCGCUUCUAGUUAAUCAGCCUGUAUACCUCCGUCGUCAGCUUACCACGUGAGCGUAAAUUAGUGAGCCCAAUGUUAUUUCACCAACACGUCAGGUCAAGGUGCAGCAAAUGAAGUGGGAAGAGAUGGGCUACACUUUCUAUUUUAGAAGAAACGAAAAACUACUUAUGAAACCUAGUUAGAAGGCGGAUUUAGCAGUAAAAAGAAAUCAGCAUGUUCAUUUUAACCCGGCACUGGGGUGUGUACACACCGCCCGUCACCCCCUGCAGUCAA